rnacentral:rRNA from 1 species
AUUGAACGCUGGCGGCAGGCCUAACACAUGCAAGUCGAGCGGAUGAAGGGAGCUUGCUCCUGGAUUCAGCGGCGGACGGGUGAGUAAUGCCUAGGAAUCUGCCUGGUAGUGGGGGAUAACGUCCGGAAACGGGCGCUAAUACCGCAUACGUCCUGAGGGAGCAAGUGGGGGAUCUUCGGACCUCACGCUAUCAGAUGAGCCUAGGUCGGAUUAGCUAGUUGGUGGGGUAAAGGCCUACCAAGGCGACGAUCCGUAACUGGUCUGAGAGGAUGAUCAGUCACACUGGAACUGAGACACGGUCCAGACUCCUACGGGAGGCAGCAGUCGGGAAUAUUGGACAAUGGGCGGAAGCCUGAUCCAGCCAUACCGCGUGUGUGAAGGAGGUCUUCGGAUUGUAAAGCACUUUAAGUUGGGAGGAAGGGCAGUAAGUUAAUACCUUGCUGUUUUGACGUUACCAACAGAAUAAGCACCGGCUAACUUCGUG